UCUUCCCUUAACACAAGUAGAAUCAGUUACCUUUUGGCUUAAACUUGCAUUUAGAAUAUCACAAUUAAUCUUCCAGCUAGACCAUAAAUAUAAAUAUAAAUUUAACAGAAUUCCUAAAAUUGAUCUAUAGGAAACAAAGGGAAUUGAUAUUUUCACAUCAAUUUUUUUUUGAUAUUUCUAUAUUAUCCCUCUCACAUGAAUAGUGAAUGGGUAUCACCUCAACGUGAGAGACUCAUGUGAAAAUAUUAUUUUAAAAUGUGAAAAUAACAAUUUCCACAACAAAACAUAAAAUAAAUUCCAAAACAAAAGAGCCGGCACUACUUUAAUUUUAACUUUUAUAAGUUUAUGCCAAGUUUGCUGUAUUAAAUUGAAAGUUGAUUUUCAUUUGUUUUCAUUAAUUAUCUUCUCCACUUCUGUAUGAACUGGUAUUUGAAAAAAAUGCUAAAUACACUUCUGAUACAUAAAAUUCCACUCUCCUCAUAAUUUAUUCUCCAAACUAAUUCGGCUCAUAAUUUAGCUCCUAAACUACCUAUAAUUUCAUAUAUACAAUGUCCUCACAAUUCCGAAUUCUGACUUAAAUUGGCAGGAAUUGUGCAUGUCACUGUGAUGCUGGAAUACGACCGUACUAAAAUGCGAUCUAACCGUAUGUUUGUGAUAAAAUAAAAACAACUCACUGUACUACAUUUUGUCCGUAUUAAAACAUAAAAAAAAUAAAUUCUGUAACAUUGAAAAAUGUGCAACGCCCAGACUAAAAAAAUGUGGAAAGAAUAUGUUACACAAUCUUUAACGCAAUCUUUAACGUUGACAAUAAAAUACAUAUACUUUGGGUGAACAGUAGUCCUGGACCUAUUAAGAAACAAUAUUGCCCCCACACAGCCAAAGAAUGUAGGUCUUUGUGUAUCGACCUACCAUAUCCUUACUCGCUCUAGGAGGUCAAUUAUUAAAACGUUUUUACAGCCACACCAAUGAAAUAGAACCCCAUUUUUUCAAUUGUUGAUAUUCAGCCGCUAGUUCAGCACCAAAACAUUCACUAAAAUGAGUCACUAGGGUGUCAAAUACGGGACAAGUGAAAGGUUUGUCCAUCAC
rnacentral:lncRNA from 1 species